GGGUCGGUAGCUCAGCCGGUAGAGCAACAGCCUUUUAAGCUGAUGGUCCCGGGUUCGAUCCCCGGCCGACCCACCA
rnacentral:tRNA from 3 species